rfam:Operophtera brumata OBRT01_Sc00277, whole genome shotgun sequence.
CACAAGGCUCUUUUGAGAGCCACUAUUCGUCAAACUGGAACACUA